GAUGAACGCUGGCGGCGUGCCUAAUACAUGCAAGUCGAGCGAACAGACGAGGAGCUUGCUCCUCUGACGUUAGCGGCGGACGGGUGAGUAACACGUGGAUAACCUACCUAUAAGACUGGGAUAACUUCGGGAAACCGGAGCUAAUACCGGAUAAUAUAUUGAACCGCAUGGUUCAAUAGUGAAAGACGGUUUUGCUGUCACUUAUAGCUGGAUCCGCGCCGCAUUAGCUAGUUGGUAAGGUAACGGCUUACCAAGGCAACGAUGCGUAGCCGACCUGAGAGGGUGAUCGGCCACACUGGAACUGAGACACGGUCCAGACUCCUACGGGAGGCAGCAGUAGGGAAUCUUCCGCAAUGGGCGAAAGCUUGACGGAGCAACGCCGCGUGAGUGAUGAAGGUCUUCGGAUCGUAAAACUCUGUUAUUAGGGAAGAACAAAUGUGUAAGUAACUAUGCACGUCUUGACGGUACCUAAUCAGAAAGCCACGGCUAACUACGG
rnacentral:rRNA from 1 species